rnacentral:rRNA from 1 species
CGCCCGUCGCUCCUGCCGAUUGGGUGUGCUGGUGAAGUGUUCGGAUUGGCAACCGGUGGCGGUUUCCGCCUUCGGUCGCCGAAAAGUUCAUUAAACCCUCCCACCUAGAGGAAGGAGAAGUCGUAACAAGGUUUCC